rnacentral:rRNA from 1 species
AUUGAACGCUGGCGGCAGGCUUAACACAUGCAAGUCGAACGAGUGGCGGACGGGUGAGUAAUGCUUGGGAAUCUAGCUUAUGGAGGGGGAUAACUACGGGAAACUGUAGCUAAUACCGCGUACCAUAGGAUGAGCCCAAGUGGGAUUAGGUAGUUGGUGAGGUAAAGGUGCACCAAGCCGAAGAUCUCUAGCUGGGCUGAGAGGAUGACCAGCCACACUGGGUCUGAGACACGGCCCCGACUCCUACGGGAGGCAGCAGUGGUGAAUAUUGCGCAAUGGGGGCAACCCUGACCGAGCCAUGCCGCGUGAAUGAAGAAGGCCUUCGGGUUGUAAAGUACUUUCAGUCGGGAGGCGUUACCGACAGAAGAAGCCACGGCUAACUCCGUGCCAGCCGCCGCGGUAAUAC